rnacentral:rRNA from 1 species
UACGUAGGGUGCGAGCGUUGUCCGGAUUUAUUGGGCGUAAAGAGCUCGUAGGCGGUUUGUCGCGUCGGCCGUGAAAUCUCCACGCUUAACGUGGAGCGUGCGGUCGAUACGGGCAGACUUGAGUUCGGUAGGGGAGACUGGAAUUCCUGGUGUAGCGGUGAAAUGCGCAGAUAUCGGGAGGAACACCAGUAGCGAAGGCGGCACUCUGGGCCGGUACUGACGCUGAGGAGCGAAAGCGUGGGGGAGCGAACAGG